rnacentral:misc_RNA from 1 species
CGAUGAGCGCGCAGGCUGCUGUUCCACGCAAGAAAUUGGCGUUCGUUGAUCCUGCCGAAUUUACUCCUCAUUUCGCGUGGCAGAAGAGCGUUCGCGAUGAGGAGAUGGAGCAUGUGUUCUGCGAGGGCGUUGA